UGCCCCAUGGCUGAGUUGGUUACAGCGUCCGACUGUUAAUUCAGCGUGAAAAUCGCCGGUUACAAUAUCGGAAGGUCGAGAGUUCGAGCCUCUCUGGGGCAG